rnacentral:lncRNA from 1 species
UAACAAUAGAAUCAUUUGGCCUAAUAGAGAAGCCACAAGUCAUUGUAAAGAAGACAAAGGACGAAGAAAUGACUGGGGAACACAAAUUACAUCAAUGGCUACAUACUCGCCUUUAAGAAUGCCAAUAAGUUCUUCAAGGUCUCAUAAAAUAGAAAGUUAUGGCUAUACUAAGUCGAACGCCAUGAAACAUGUAGAGCAUCUAAGAGAUUAGAAAUAAAAAAGUAAAAUAAAAUAUAAGACAAAUGGAGCAAGAGAAAAAUUUCUGUAUUGAGAUAAACAUAUCUAGUCAUACAAGGAACCAAAGCAAGAGACAUACUAAUAAAGUUGUUCCAAGUCCUUUGUAUAGACCAAAGAAACCUUCAUUUCUGUAGUAGCUUCAUCGGGUACAACUCUAUUUCUGUUUAAACUGUUAUGUCCCCAUCCAAAUUUAUUGGAAAUAAGCUGCGGAUGUUGUCCUCAUUUAUGUUAAUCUUUUCUUUUUUGGUAGUUCUACAUGAAGUAUUACUAUAUUACCUUUGCAGCAAGCUGUAUCUUCACAAGAUUUAGUUGAUAGGUGGUCAAAGUAGCAUUUAUUCUUGACAAACGACAACCCAUAAAAGCUCAGAAGGAUAUCUGCACUUGCAUUUCCCCGACGACCAUCUAGUGCAGCGAUAGAUUUUAAAAUCGGCAAAGAAUAUGACAUCAGUAAAAUAGUAUACUAAAUAUGCUUUAUACAGAACAAAACUGUAAUUUUCAUUUCUUAAAAACUCACUUUGUAACGUUCGUGCACAUAGAAGUUCACUGAAGAAUAAGGAAGUCAAGCAAUUGUAACCAGAUUUCCUUUCCAGAAAGCUCUUAAAACUUCUUUAUUGACAAUCUGUAAUGCCUUGCGCCACAUCCUAGGCUUACUCAAUAUUACAACAUCUGAG